GACGAACCAUCCAAACGUUAUUCGGAAUCACUGGGCUUAAAGGGUGCGUAGGCGGCGCUGUAAGUUGGGUGUGAAAUACCUCAGCUUAACUGAGGAAUUGCGCCCAAAGCUGCAGUGCUCGAGGAAGACAUAGGUGAGCGGAACUUAGGGUGGAGCGGUGAAAUGCGUUGAUAUCCUAAGGAACACCAGUAGCGAAAGCGGCUCACUGGGUCUUAUCUGGCGCUGAUGCACGAAAGCCAGGGGAGCGAACGGG
rnacentral:rRNA from 1 species